rnacentral:rRNA from 1 species
GACGUAGGGCGCGAGCGUUGUCCGGAUUUAUUGGGCGUAAAGAGCUCGUAGGCGGCUUGUCGCGUCGACUGUGAAAUCCCGCGGCUCAACUGCGGGUCUGCAGUCGAUACGGGCAGGCUAGAGUUCGGUAGGGGAGACUGGAAUUCCUGGUGUAGCGGUGAAAUGCGCAGAUAUCUGGAGGAACACCGGUGGCGAAGGCGGCAUCCUGGACCGGUAUUGACGCUGAGGCGCGAAAGCCAGGGGAGCAAACGGG